rnacentral:rRNA from 1 species
UUAAGCGACUAAGCGUACACGGUGGAUGCCCUGGCAGUCAGAGGCGAUGAAGGACGUGCUAAUCUGCGAUAAGCGUCGGUAAGGUGAUAUGAACCGUUAUAACCGGCGAUUUCCGAAUGGGGAAACCCAGUGUGUUUCGACACACUAUCAUUAACUGAAUCCAUAGGUUAAUGAGGCGAACCGGGGGAACUGAAACAUCUAAGUACCCCGAGGAAAAGAAAUCAACCGAGAUUCCCCCAGUAGCGGCGAGCGAACGGGGAGCAGCCCAGAGCCUGAAUCAGUGUGUGUGUUAGUGGAAGCGUCUGGAAAGGCGCGCGAUACAGGGUGACAGCCCCGUACACAAAAAUGCACAUGCUGUGAGCUCGAUGAGUAGGGCGGGACACGUGGUAUCCUGUCUGAAUAUGGGGGGACCAUCCUCCAAGGCUAAAUACUCCUGACUGACCGAUAGUGAACCAGUACCGUGAGGGAAAGGCGAAAAGAACCCCGGCGAGGGGAGUGAAAAAGAACCUGAAACCGUGUACGUACAAGCAGUGGGAGCACGCUUAGGCGUGUGACUGCGUACCUUUUGUAUAAUGGGUCAGCGACUUAUAUUCUGUAGCAAGGUUAACCGAAUAGGGGAGCCGAAGGGAAACCGAGUCUUAACUGGGCGUUAAGUUGCAGGGUAUAGACCCGAAACCCGGUGAUCUAGCCAUGGGCAGGUUGAAGGUUGGGUAACACUAACUGGAGGACCGAACCGACUAAUGUUGAAAAAUUAGCGGAUGACUUGUGGCUGGGGGUGAAAGGCCAAUCAAACCGGGAGAUAGCUGGUUCUCCCCGAAAGCUAUUUAGGUAGCGCCUCGUGAAUUCAUCUCCGGGGGUAGAGCACUGUUUCGGCAAGGGGGUCAUCCCGACUUACCAACCCGAUGCAAACUGCGAAUACCGGAGAAUGUUAUCACGGGAGACACACGGCGGGUGCUAACGUCCGUCGUGAAGAGGGAAACAACCCAGACCGCCAGCUAAGGUCCCAAAGUCAUGGUUAAGUGGGAAACGAUGUGGGAAGGCCCAGACAGCCAGGAUGUUGGCUUAGAAGCAGCCAUCAUUUAAAGAAAGCGUAAUAGCUCACUGGUCGAGUCGGCCUGCGCGGAAGAUGUAACGGGGCUAAACCAUGCACCGAAGCUGCGGCAGCGACGCUUAUGCGUUGUUGGGUAGGGGAGCGUUCUGUAAGCCUGUGAAGGUGUGCUGUGAGGCAUGCUGGAGGUAUCAGAAGUGCGAAUGCUGACAUAAGUAACGAUAAAGCGGGUGAAAAGCCCGCUCGCCGGAAGACCAAGGGUUCCUGUCCAACGUUAAUCGGGGCAGGGUGAGUCGACCCCUAAGGCGAGGCCGAAAGGCGUAGUCGAUGGGAAACAGGUUAAUAUUCCUGUACUUGGUGUUACUGCGAAGGGGGGACGGAGAAGGCUAUGUUGGCCGGGCGACGGUUGUCCCGGUUUAAGCGUGUAGGCUGGUUUUCCAGGCAAAUCCGGAAAAUCAAGGCUGAGGCGUGAUGACGAGGCACUACGGUGCUGAAGCAACAAAUGCCCUGCUUCCAGGAAAAGCCUCUAAGCAUCAGGUAACAUCAAAUCGUACCCCAAACCGACACAGGUGGUCAGGUAGAGAAUACCAAGGCGCUUGAGAGAACUCGGGUGAAGGAACUAGGCAAAAUGGUGCCGUAACUUCGGGAGAAGGCACGCUGAUAUGUAGGUGAAGUCCCUCGCGGAUGGAGCUGAAAUCAGUCGAAGAUACCAGCUGGCUGCAACUGUUUAUUAAAAACACAGCACUGUGCAAACACGAAAGUGGACGUAUACGGUGUGACGCCUGCCCGGUGCCGGAAGGUUAAUUGAUGGGGUCAGCGCAAGCGAAGCUCUUGAUCGAAGCCCCGGUAAACGGCGGCCGUAACUAUAACGGUCCUAAGGUAGCGAAAUUCCUUGUCGGGUAAGUUCCGACCUGCACGAAUGGCGUAAUGAUGGCCAGGCUGUCUCCACCCGAGACUCAGUGAAAUUGAACUCGCUGUGAAGAUGCAGUGUACCCGCGGCAAGACGGAAAGACCCCGUGAACCUUUACUAUAGCUUGACACUGAACAUUGAGCCUUGAUGUGUAGGAUAGGUGGGAGGCUU